UCCCCUCGGCUUAUCUGUGGAAGCAGCGGUUUUCCCAGGCCAGAGACGGCUCCAGACCAAUUUUUUCAAUUGCUGUAAUCCCACCCUGUUCCACGGACCCCCUUUUCGACUCAGAGUCCCCUGGAGUGUGGGAGGACCCACAAGCGCUACCGUCGAGGACUCUGCGCCUGCCUAAACUGCCCCGGGCGGCCGCACCCCUCGUCUUCUCUCUGUGACCUGUUGUUGUCGCACGCCGCUUUGUCCACAUCCCCUAACAGUCACUUCCUAUGGGUCUGGCCGCAGUCGUCCCUUCAAUCGCACUGGCCAGUUCCACAACUGACUCUUCCGCCCCUCUGGCAGAACAGGGCGAGCAGGACGCGCAUGCGCGGACCCCACCUCCACAGAGCACAGGGUGACCCCUCGGAGGGCCUGACAGGGGCGGAAGGAGCAUGCGCAGAUGCCGCGAACCGCUCCGGAAGGGAAGAUGUGCUGAGUGGGUGGGUAUUGGCAAAGCCAGACCUGUUCAUCUCCGCGCCCCUGCUGCCCUCCUUCUCCCUGAGUCUUAUCUUCCCAUACUCGGUCAGGACUAUAGGACAGCCGCGUAUCGGAAUCUUAGUGUGAAUCCUUCCGUUUAGCUAGCAACCCCUCUAAAAAAAGACUUGAGUUAAUAAAAAUCAUAUUUAAUCUGUUGACUUGCUUAGAAUGGGUGCAACCUGUAGAUCACCGUCCAGUCCUUGGUUCCAGAGCAGGCGACUCUUCUUCCUCA